ensembl:lncRNA
GGUGUGACAGUGAGGUGUUUCCUCCGAAUAGAGCUGUUAGACUGAAGGCAUGUGGUGGUGGAGAGUGAGAGUUGGCACAGGGGGCAGAGUGGUACUGAUGGGCAUGUGAUGGUGGAGAUGAGUUGGCACAGGGGGCAGAGUGGUACUGAUGGGCAUGUGAUGGUGGAGAUGGUGUGUGAGAGUUGGCACAGGGGGCAGAGUGGUACUGAUGGGCAUGUGAUGGUGGAGAUGGUGUGUGAGAGUUGGCACAGGGGGCAGAGUGGUACUGAUGGGCAUGUGAUGGUGGAGAUGGCACAGGGGGCAGAGUGGUACUGAUGGGCAUGUGAUGGUGGAGAUGGUGUGUGAGAGUUGGCACAGGUGGCAGAGUGGUACUGAUGGGCACGGCUCUGUGCUGGAGUGUGUGACUCCAUAUCAUUGCCAUCUUAUUGUUGAUGAGCGUAAGGGCAAACACAAGUGUAU